rnacentral:rRNA from 1 species
AAUAAUAAAGAAAGUUAACUUUCGCUCUUAGAAGUUUGUAUCUCGUGCGUGGUAGUAGUUAGGAUUAAAAGCCUAACUAGCUAAACGCACGUAGUCGUAACUGAAAGGUUGAUCGACCACAGUGGGCCUGAAUAAAGCCCAUGACGAUUGUCACAGCAGUGAGGAAUAUUGGUCAAUAGCCUUGCAUCAUUGUUUCCUUAAUUUUCGUAAGGAUACUACGGAAACUGAUGAUGCAAGAUCGACUAUGUUGAAUAAAAUUCUAGGUAAGAAUAAUAAUCAGAAUAUGAUAAGAUCAGAAAAUCAGAAAAUUAAUGAGGGGGCAAUAAAGUAUAUUUACAAGCGCUGCACGGCUGUCUUCAGUUAAUGUCGCGAGACUAUGGUUAGUUCCAUUAAUUAACGUAAACCCUUACUUUAUUUUUAUAUAGAG